UGACCCAUAUGGGUCACCUAGCCAACUGACGUUGUUAGUGAACUUAGUAUUCACAAAUUACAGCCAAUAGAAUUUAUUUCUACUGGCUAUUUUUUU
rfam:Vibrio coralliilyticus strain 58 chromosome I, complete sequence.